rnacentral:rRNA from 1 species
CACUCCUACGGGAGGCAGCAGUGGGGAAUUUUGGACAAUGGGGGCAACCCUGAUCCAGCAAUGCCGCGUGAGUGAAGAAGGCCUUCGGGUUGUAAAGCUCUUUUGUCAGGGAAGAAACGGUGGUGGCGAAUAACUACUACUAAUGACGGUACCUGAAGAAUAAGCACCGGCUAACUACGUGCCAGCAGCCGCGGUAAUACGUAGGGUGCAAGCGUUAAUCGGAAUUACUGGGCGUAAAGCGUGCGCAGGCGGUUGUGUAAGUCAGAUGUGAAAUCCCCGGGCUCAACCUGGGAAUUGCAUUUGAGACUGCACGGCUAGAGUGUGUCAGAGGGGGGUAGAAUUCCACGUGUAGCAGUGAAAUGCGUAGAUAUGUGGAGGAAUACCGAUGGCGAAGGCAGCCCCCUGGGAUAACACUGACGCUCAUGCACGAAAGCGUGGGGAGCAAACAGGAUUAGAAACCCCAGUAGUCCCAUGAU